CCUGCCAUACGUGGAGAGCCCCCAGGAGCGCCUGAAAGAGAUGGCCCUCAGGUUCAUUGGGAUCGCCGCCAAGUACCUGAGAAAGGGGGAGGAGGAGGAUGAGUCCAUCACAGAGGUCAUCAUUGAGGCCCUUCAAAGCGUGACUGCUGACAGCCCUGCCAUCAAAAAGCGGGCAG